AUUGAACGCUGGCGGCAUGCCUUACACAUGCAAAUCGAACGGUAACGGGCCUUCGGGUGCCGACGAGUGGCGAACGGGUGAGUAAUACAUCGGAACGUGCCCGAUCGUGGGGGAUAACGAGGCGAAAGCUUUGCUAAUACCGCAUACGAUCUACGGAUGAAAGCAGGGGACCGCAAGGCCUUGCGCGGACGGAGCGGCCGAUGGCAGAUUAGGUAGUUGGUGGGAUAAAAGCUUACCAAGCCGACGAUCUGUAGCUGGUCUGAGAGGAUGAUCAGCCACACUGGGACUGAGACACGGCCCAGACUCCUACGGGAGGCAGCAGUGGGGAAUUUUGGACAAUGGGCGCAAGCCUGAUCCAGCCAUGCCGCGUGCAGGAUGAAGGCCUUCGGGUUGAAAACUGAUUUUGUACGGAACGAAAAGCCUUCUUUUAAUACAGGAGGGUCAUGACGGUACCGUAAGAAUAAGCACCGGCUAACUACGUG
rnacentral:rRNA from 1 species